rnacentral:rRNA from 1 species
UACAGGGGGUGCAAACGUUGCUCGGAAUCAUUGGGCGUAAAGCGCACGUAGGCGGUUCGUUAUGUCGGAUGUGAAAGCCCCUUGGCUUAACCGAGGAAGUGCAUCCGAAAACUGGCGAGCUAGAGUACGAAAGAGGAUCGCGGAAUUCCCGGUGUAGAGGUGAAAUUCGUAGAUAUCGGGAGGAACACCGGUGGCGAAGGCGGCAUCCUGGACCGAUACUGACGCUGAGGAGCGAAAGCCAGGGGAGCAAAGCGGG